UUUUUUUUUUUUUUUUAAGAUACUAUGUCUUAUUCCACAGUGUAUCCUAGUGCCUCCCAAGGUGCCUGGCAGGUAGGAGGCACUUGGGAAAUCUUUAUGGAAUGCGUGUAGGAAUCCUUCUCUCGCACCUGCAGUGGGAACCCUUCCCAGGGGCUGCGGGACGACAGCAGAGGCAGGUGGGCUCAUCUUGUGCUCCUCACAGGGGCUUCCUGUGUCUACAUUCCUAGAGAAGUCCCAGGUCUGCCCCAACUGAAGCCUUAGGCGUCCCCUUGUCCAGCUCCUCUCAGGGCAAUGGACCCAAGUCCUAAAGCUCUUGGCCUUGGGGACAUGAUGACAUCCUCCGUCACUAUUCCCUCCUAUUGCUUGACCCAAGUCUGAGGCUAACAAUCCAGCCAGCCUGGGGGCAGAGGGGAGAGGGGGCUUAAGGAAGCCUGUGGGUGGGGAAGGGAGCUGGAGACCCCCUUGCUGCCGUCUUGACCCUGGCCGAGCUGACGUCUCACAAUCUACAUGUUCCCUGAGGCCUGAGACAGGGGUGUGGUCCCCAAGACAAGAUGUAGAGAGACAUAACCACGGUCCCUUUCUCAGAUCAAACCUUGUGUGUGAUCAUUCACACACACUCACAGGCUCACUCAUGCUCGUUGGUCUGGAGACGGGUUUCAAGGUCAACGAGCUUCAAGUUAGGAAAAUGAGGUGGGGUGUUCCCUGCUCCGAGGGUUAAGGAUCCGGUGUUGUCACGCUGUGGCUUGGGUCACUACUGUGGCACCUGUUCUAUCCCUGGCCGCUGGCAUGGCCAGAAAAACAAAAACGAAAACCAGGGGUUUGGAGGGGGAUGGACACCAGCAUUCCUUUAUCCCUUUUCCUUCCAGCACUGACUGUUGUGCAACUGACCAUCAAAGAAGAGCCAGAAGGAGGUGGAGACAAAGGUUUCUCUCCAGCUCACUGACUCAUCUUCAUCCACUGUUCCAUUGACCCAGAAGUGAACUGGACCUGGGGCAAGACAGAAGGUAGCAGAAGCUUCUGUGAUGGCUGAGCUCCCUGGAUAUGAUCUUCCUCUGGUCAGAAGCUAAGCAGCAUCCAAACGUCUGUUUCCUGGACUUCACCUCCUAGCCUGGCUUGGUCUUCCAACAGGCAGAAGUCACCCCUCCUCAUUGCUCUCAUUGCCCCAUCUUAUGAGAGAGGGAGAGAGAGCAAAAGACAGACAGACUGAAGUUUAACAUUCUCCGCGGAGAUAUACACGCAAGAGAAGACACGGGAGUUACCCAGAGGCCACACCAAUUUCUCUGGGUCUCAACAACUUGAGAAACUUGAGUCCUGGGCCCAUCUCUUCACUCGCUUUACCCUCCCCACACGACCCCUUCCUAAAAGAAGACUCAGUUUUUAAAAAUAAUCAGGUCUGGAGUUCCCAUCGUGGUGCAGUGUAAACAAAUCCAACUAGGAACCAUGAGGUAGUGGGUUUGAUCCCUGGCCUCGCUCAGUGAGUUACAGAUCUGGCGUUGCCGUGAGCUGUGGUAUAGGUCGCAGACACAGCUCGAUCUGGCGUUGCUGCGGUUGUGGCGUAGGCAUUCAGCUGUAGCUCUGAUUCGACCCCUAGCCUGGAAACCUCCGUAUGCCAUGGAUAUGGCCCUGAAAAAAAUAAUACCAAAAAAUUAAAAAAUUUAAAAAUCAGGUCUUGUUUGGGCCUAUUUUUUAUUUGAAUAACAAUACAAGAAUAGGUAAUAUUAGUCACAUGGGUCAAAAUUCAAACUGUACAAAAGGGUAUGUAGUAGUAGAUCUCCUCCCUCCCCUGUGCCCACCUCCUGGUUCCCCUCCAGAGGCAACCAGUGUUACCCGUUUCAUAUGCAUCUAUAAGAUAAGAAAAUACGUAUUUAUAAUAUCCUCCCUUGAAAGCACAAAUGGAAGAGCCCUAUACACAUUUCUGUGCCUUGCCUUUUUCUUUGGAAGAUUAUUCCCUAUAAAGAGAUGCAAUUAGGCUUAUAGCUUCAUAGUAUUGUUUCGUAAGGCUAUAUCAGAAGUUAUUUAACUGAUCCUCUAGGGAAGGACAGCUCUGCAGUUUCCCAUCUCUUGCUGUUUGCAUACAAACCCCAACUCAGAACACCCACUUCCCACCAUGACUAGGGACAACCUAGGGGAGAGGCUCCUCCCACAGAGGGCCCCUGCUCAUUUGCAUGCCCACACCUGAUUGGACAGCCCGUGGCCCUGGGGCUGCAGUGCCUGGGUCUUCCUGCUUCUCAGGCUUGGUGCCCAGGCUCCCCCAUGUUGGGUGCUGCAGAGGACAGGGGGCACUGGUCACACCCAGACCUGGCACAAAAUGACCAUUCCUCAUUACCACUGCACAUACAAAUCCACCUAACGUGCUAACUUGAGCUGCUGAUGUCUCUAUGGCCAUCCUUUGGUAGAGAAUGCAAGGCAGGCCUAUACGCAUGGGCAGAAAGGACUGUGCGCACCGGGCCCCAGGACUGGGGUUGGGGCAGUGCCCAGGCACAGGGAGCCAGACAAGGACUGUCCUCUCAAACCAGAGGUACCUUGCAUUUUCAGACUUCCACAGGCUAGAGUCAGGAGAGGAGAUCAGAGCUGAGACAGGGGGGCUAGGAAAGCUUCCGGGCAGAGGAACAGUCCCUCGGGGCUGGAAGGGAAAUCCCAGGAAUAAGAACUGGCAGGAACAGUAGGAGGCUGGGCAAGAAGGAGAACUAGGAUGAGAGGAAACUUGGGCCAAAGGGCCCCUUCCGGAGAGUUCGCGUGUGGCCCAGUGGCUUGGGUCUCUGCCGUGGCACGAGGUCAAUCCCUAGCCCGGGAACUCCCACAUGUCAGGGCACAGCAAAAAUAAAAUAAAAUAAAAUAAAAUAAAAUCCCCUUCCCGCCUUAUUUGUGGAUUCAUCAGCCUGGCAGGAUCCCUGCUCUGGGGCCUCUAGGGGGCUAUCUCCAUAGCAGAGCCCCCAUUCUCACGUCCCAAGGGAAGAACUGGGGAGUCUCAGGAGAGACCUGGGAUGGCCUAAAAAGAUUUGGGAAAGCCAGAAAGCAAAAACAAAAGGAAAAACAGAAAACAAAAAGCAAAAAAACAAAGAACACCCCAAACAGGAGUCUUCUGGAAAGACAACCA